GUUCUCCCCAGGCUUCCUCAUCAAAAUGAAGUGGCCUGUUAGGCUGUUGGUGCUGUUCUUCUGGAUUCCUGCUUCCAGAGGUGAUGUUGUGAUGACACAAACUCCAGUCUCCCUGUCUGUCAGCCUUGGAGGUCAAACCUCUAUCUCUUGCCGGUCUAGUCAGAGCCUGGUACACAGUGAUGGAAACACCUAUUUGUAUUGGUUCCUGCAGAAGCCAGGCCAGUCACCUCAGCUCCUCAUCUAUAAGGUUUCCAACCGAUUUUCUGGGGUCCCAGAUAGGUUCAGUGGUAGUGGGUCAGGGACAGAUUUCACACUCAAGAUCAGUAGAGUAGAGCCUGAGGAUUUGGGAGUUUAUUACUGCUACCAAGGUACACAUUAUCCUCCCACAGUGAUGCAGACCCUAACAAAAAUGUUCUUGGUUGGGGCAUCACAGCUGUCAAAUAAGUUGCUCAUCUGUUUGAGAGAAAAGUAUUGA